UACAGAGGUCUCAAGCGUUGUUCGGAUUCAUUGGGCGUAAAGGGUGCGUAGGCGGCGCGGUAAGUCGGGUGUGAAAUCUCGGGGCUUAACUCCGAAACUGCAUUCGAUACUGCCGUGCUUGAGGACUGGAGAGGAGACUGGAAUUUACGGUGUAGAGGUGAAAUUCGUAGAUAUUGGGAAGAACACCGGUGGCGAAGGCGGCUCUCUGGACCGAUACUGACGCGUGAGGCGCGAAAGCGUGGGGAGCAAACAGGG
rnacentral:rRNA from 1 species